CUGUGUUUAUGUCAAUAUACAAAUGACACUGUAAAACGUAUGAAUUGAAAACUGAUCUCAAUAUAACUUAAACUUGUAAAAUAAAUUCAUUCUCAGCUUACCUUCCUAUGGAUUUUCUCUCUUGAGUACUAUGUUCUCCGAUCUUCGACGACUCACCCGUCCUUAGAUCUUGGUCUCCUCUUCCAAGAGUUCAGACAGCAACUCCGGGUGAUUGUCAUAUGGAUAUAUGAUUUGGGUGUUUCUUAUGAAUAUUCUUUUUCACUUUCAGGAUUCGGACUGCUUUUUUUCGUUUUUUUUUAACUUAACUUUUUCAAAUUGAUUUACUGAGGUACUAGUGCUUUACUCUGGAAUCUUCAAGAUUAUUUAGUUCAUGAGAACCACAUCACGAAGCUGACUAUAUAUCUCUUUCAUCGACGGCAAAGACGACAUCGCUGCUAAAGUCAUCGCCGGAGCCUCGAAACCCGAUUUGGGAGCGGAUUGAUUUGGAGUCGAGGGCGGCGUUGUCGGGUACUAUUCCAGCGCGUUAAUAUGGAAGAAGUUGAUGAGGUUGUCGACGAUUGGAAGUCGCUAGGUCUUGUUCGACUUGGUUUUGGUUCAAGCCCGAUCUCUUGUCGGAAUGUAGUUUGGGUGGAACGUUGGCCGCAUCUGAAGAAUUUGGUUCGUUGAUGUCGGCGUCUGAAGAUGGUUCACGAUCUGCUCUUAUGCAUCGACGAGAUCCGGAUAAUAGUACUAUCAGCCUUCAAUAAGGAGCUUGAUGUUUAGGUUGGCUUCUGGACCUAUAUCCUCUUCAAAUUCAACCAUGUCUUCCUCACACAGUGUUCUGGGCUAUUCCCAUAAAAGCUAAGGCAACUGCGCUGAGAAAGGAAGUAGAGAUUCGUUCCUGAAAUGAAGAAUUAGAUAUGCAGUACUUGGCAAUUAUGCAAGAGAAUGCGAAGACGGCGGAAGACGGGGAGUAAUGCUUGGUAACUCUGGAGGGAUUUUCUCGAGUUUUAGAAUUGCAUCUUGGAAUUCCAAAGUUAGUUUGUUGAACUUUGGAAUGAGAAAGAACAGAUCUUGGGAAAG